GGGGUUGUGGCUCAGUGGUAGAGCGCUUGCCUAGCAUGUGCAAGGCACUGGGUUCAAUUCUCAGCAACACAU
rnacentral:tRNA from 1 species